AGCGCCGAUACGAGUGCGUGCGGGAAGGAGCUUUAUCUGAAGACUUUCUGGCUCUCUUGUGUUCUUUAUCACUGAUAUUCGAUCCCAGUGUCUCGGGAAUUUAAGAACAAGGAUUUCUGACGAUGUUUAAUGAGAGAGAAAUCAGGGCUACAGGCUACGGCGAGGCAGCCAGCGCCGACGGAUACGGCUACAUGAGAUACGUCGACUGCAACUCUGCCCUCGCGCUCCUCGGCUUCAUCCUUUUCGUCGACAUUCUCAGG